AGAGUUUGAUUAUGGCUCAGGAUGAACGCUGGCGGCACGCCUAACACAUGCAAGUCGAACGGAGUUUAUGGGAGCUUGCUCCUAUAACUAGUGGCGGACGGGUGAGUAACACGUGAGCAACCUGCCUUUCAGAGAGGGAUAGCUUCUGGAAACGGAUGGUAAUACCUCAUAACAUACAGAAACGGCAUCGUUUCUGUAUCAAAGAUUUAUCGCUGAAAGAUGGGCUCGCGUCUGAUUAGCUAGUUGGUGAGGUAACGGCCCACCAAGGCAACGAUCAGUAGCCGGACUGAGAGGUUGAACGGCCACAUUGGGACUGAGACACGGCCCAGACUCCUACGGGAGGCAGCAGUGGGGAAUAUUGCACAAUGGGCGCAAGCCCUGAUGCAGCGAUGCCGCGUGAGGGAAGAAGGUUUUCGGAUUGUAAACCUCUGUCAUCGGGGACGAAAAUGACGGUACCCGAGAAGGAAGCUCCGGCUAACUACGUGCCAGCCGCGGC
rnacentral:rRNA from 1 species